CAGUACCAGGCUGCGUUCUAUGAAUGCAGUGCUAAGAGUGGACAGCAGGUGGAGGAGGCCAUGACCCACCUGACCAGGUGUAAAACUGGAUCAAAGAUAUUUCAUAUUCAGCGAUCACUAGUGAAAUGUCUUUUUCCAAUGCAGUAAAUAAUAAUAUAUAAUAUAAUAGAGUAAAAUGAUAUUCCUGAAGUGGCCAUUCCAAUAGAAAAAAUGCUUUCUGCAGCAGCGGGAAAAAAUGUGUAAGCAUUUUAAAAUAUUUAUCUGAAUGUGCCAAUUAACAUUUAUUUUUAAACCGUUAUUUGAAUACUAUCAGCCAAUCACUGUGUGCAUAGUUAAUGAGCAUGCUGACAUCAUCCAUAGCAACACGCUCAGCCCCGCCCCCUUACUCUGAGCUCAAGACUUCUCUCUGUUCCUCAGUAAAAGUUUGUCUCAGCAGCUUUGUGAACAGCUUUGAAGAGAAAACUUUUACUGCUAUUUAGGAGAACUCUUAGUGCUAAGAUCAAAUGUUUCGUGAAUAUGGGCCCUGGUCAAAGAUUUAUAAUAUUUGAAACAAGUCUCUUCUGCUCAACAAGUAACAGUAAUAUUGAGAAAUAUUAUUUUGAUUUAAAAAAACUGUUUUCUGUGUGAAUCUCUGUUAAAGUGUAAUUUAUUUCUGUGAUGUGCAGCUGUAUUUUCAGCAUCAUUACUCCAGUCUUCAGUGUCACAUGAUCUUCAGAAAUCAGAAUAAUAUGAUGAUUUGCUGCUCUGUUAUGAUUAUUGGCACUCAAUCAUUAAUAUUGGUUCUUAUCAAUAUAAAUUUUUUUCUGCUUCAUAUUUUUUGGAAAUCAUGAUAUUUUACUUUUCAGGAUUCUUUGUUGAACAGAAACUUCAAAAGAACAGCAUUUGUGGACAGCAGGUGGAGGAGGCCAUGACCCACCUGACCAGGUUACUCGCCUCACAGGAGGACAAGCAGUGCGAGUCUGUGCUCCGUCUGCACGUCUCUGCCAACAGAGGGCGCUGCUGCAGAUAACUGGAGCGUCACUUCAGAAUUCAGCGACGACUUGGCUCAUGAAUAUUAAUUACGUCACUUGACGCACAAAGAAUUUAACAAACAACCUAUGAGUAUUCAUAAGCUAAAGGAUUAGGAGUGGAAAGUCCACCUCUAAACAUCAGCUAAAUUAAUAACCAUAUUUCAGCAAGGUAAAAAGUUAUAAAACAGUAUCGGGAACAGUGCUAAGAUCAUUUCAGCAUUACUACAGACUCCGACUGGCGAUCUGUUACACAAAACUAUCUGUGAGGUACACUUUUAAAUCGUUUUUUAUACUCAAAUACAUUUAUCAUCAGUCUAAUGUUAAAAAGUAUGAGUAUUUUCAUAAUAAUUAUUAGUAUUAAUUUGUGGACUCGGACAACAAAUGCAAUUUUUGGGAACCAAAAAUUAAAUGUUAUGUUUACAUUAAAUGUUUUCUAUGUAAAUAUUGUAUCUAAACACUAUGACAGUUGUUUGUUUUUGGGACUGGAGCAAUAAAUGUGGUUUGUUCUACAGCGCUUUCUCUCGGCGCUUUGUAUUAUUACAUGGCGUGAACGCGCCGCGCGCUCCGUAGAAUGACGCGUUCACGAGAGCACUCAGAGCAGUGCCCACAAACAAACGCGGACAGAAGGGCACAGACCUCUGGAGUAAAAGCGGACUCACAGACAUAAUUUUUAUUUUUAUUUUUUAAAUAAAUACGACCUAUAACGGGAUAUUCAUUCAGUCACGUCUUUCAGGUGGGUGCGAUAUUUCAAACACGAACUUUUAUUAUUCUUUUGAAAUCGUUCGUUUAGGGCUCAUAAAUUGGUAUUAUGGUGUGAUUUAUGAGUUUAUGAAUAAAAAUAAAUUACACUUUUGUCCUCAACCGCAAUUUUUAACCAAAGUAGCCAACUGUUAUUUUAUAUUUUUUGAAAAUCCUACUGGAAAUUGUAUUGGCUGUAAGUGAAAUGCAGCAGAAAGUCUGCUGGAUGGGAUAUUUGUCUGAUUUGUACACAUAAAUAUCCUAGUCUGUUUAACUGCAUCAUUGUACAGUCAUUACAGCUCAAAGCCAUCUGAUGUUCCAUUUAUCUAAAUACAUAGGCCUAACAUACUGUAUAUGGCUCUUAAAUCACUGCUUAUAAAAAUUCAGUGUUGUCAUAUUUUGAAUACCUCAAACUGAAUUGAGGUCAUUUGUUUUAUAAUUUUAUUACUGACUGUGUACUUGUCUUAUUUUUUGUAAAUUCAUUUCAGUUUGAAAUCAAGCUUGUGCUGUAAGCUUUUGCAACAAAGUCACCCUAAAGACACAAAUACACAGAAUGAGCAAAUGUUUAAGAUUGAGUUUUUUGUAAUGAUAAUUGAUCAGUAUUUAUAUGUAUGUAAAUAAAAGCCUAUAUAAAAUCUGUUCAUCAUAUAAAGCGAAUCUUUUUAGAAGACUUGGAUUAAAAGUUUGAAAUACUGAGUGCCUUGGAAAAAUGGAUGGACAAAAAAAU
rnacentral:lncRNA from 1 species